rnacentral:tRNA from 1 species
GCGCCGGUCGCAUAGCGGCAAUUGCAUUGGACUGUAAAUCCAACGACCAUUGGUCUACGGUGGUUCGAGUCCACCCCGGCGCA